rnacentral:rRNA from 1 species
UACGUAGGGUGCAAGCGUUGUCCGGAAUUAUUGGGCGUAAAGAGCUCGUAGGCGGUCUGUUGCGUCGGCUGUGAAAACCCGGGGCUCAACUCCGGGCCUGCAGCCGAUACGGGCAGACUAGAGUUCGGCAGGGGAGACUGGAAUUCCUGGUGUAGCGGUGAAAUGCGCAGAUAUCUGGAAGAACACCCGUGGCGAAGGCGGCUCUCUGGGACGGUACUGACGCUGAGACGCGAAAGCGUGGGGAGCGAACAGG